UACGUAGGGUCCAAGCGUUAUCCGGAAUUACUGGGCGUAAAGAGUGUGUAGGCGGUCUUUUAAGUUAGAUGUUAAAUCUGCGGGCUCAACUCGUAGGCCGCAUCUAAUACUGGGAGACUUGAGAGUGGAAGGGGCAAGCGGAAUUUUCGGUGGAGCGGUUAAAUGCGUAGAUAUCGAAAAGAACACCAAUGGCGAAGGCAGCUUGCUGGGCCACUUCUGACGCUGAGACACGAAAGCGUGGGGAGCGAUCGGG
rnacentral:rRNA from 1 species